UCGGGUCACGUACAUCCGAGGGUCG
rnacentral:rRNA from 1 species